GACGAACGCUGGCGGCGUGCCUAAUACAUGCAAGUAGAACGCUGAAGGAGGAGCUUGCUUCUCUGGAUGAGUUGCGAACGGGUGAGUAACGCGUAGGUAACCUGCCUGGUAGCGGGGGAUAACUAUUGGAAACGAUAGCUAAUACCGCAUAAUAGUAGAUGUCGCAUGACAUUUGCUUAAAAGGUGCAAUUGCAUCACUACCAGAUGGACCUGCGUUGUAUUAGCUAGUUGGUGAGGUAACGGCUCACCAAGGCAACGAUACAUAGCCGACCUGAGAGGGUGAUCGGCCACACUGGGACUGAGACACGGCCCAGACUCCUACGGGAGGCAGCAGUAGGGAAUCUUCGGCAAAGGACGGAAGUCUGACCGAGCAACGCCGCGUGAGUGAAGAAGGUUUUCGGAUCGUAAAGCUCUGUUGUAAGAGAAGAACAAGUGUGAGAGUGGAAAGUUCACACUGUGACGGUAUCUUACCAGAAAGGGACGGCUAACUACGUG
rnacentral:rRNA from 1 species